rnacentral:sRNA from 1 species
CUGGUGGCUGGAGGAGACGCCGGCGCUGGAGAGUGCGCUGCGCCGCCGGCCGCUGAGGGACCGCGGGGUUCGCCGCUGCUGGCUGCUUCCAGUGUUCGCCGAGAGGUACCGGGGGUGACAGCUCUGGGACCGGCCGAAAGGCGAGGAACCGGUCCACUGGCUAUUCUGAGGUGAUAGUUGUCGUUGGAGGAUGUGAGCGAGUUGGAGGAUUUAAUCUUCCAUACACUGAGUGCUACGAUCCUGUAACAGGAGAAUGGAAGUCUUUGGCUAAGCUUCCAGAAUUUACCAAAUCAGAGUAUGCAGUCUGUGCUCUAAGGAAUGACAUUCUUGUUUCAGGUGGAAGAAUCAACAGCCGUGAUGUCUGGAUUUAUAACUCACAGUUAAAUAUUUGGAUCAGAGUUGCCUCUCUCAAUAAAGGCAGAUGGCGUCACAAAAUGGCUGUCCUCCUUGGUAAAGUAUACGUUGUUGGUGGCUAUGAUGGGCAAAACAGACUUAGCAGCGUAGAAUGUUAUGAUUCCUUUUCAAAUCGAUGGACUGAAGUUGCU